rnacentral:tRNA from 1 species
GUUUUGUUGUGAAUUACCGUUGUAAUCUGACUUUUAAUCAGGUGGUCCGGGGUUCGAGCCCCCGCCGGCCCACCA